AUUGAACGCUGGCGGCAGGCCUAACACAUGCAAGUCGAACGGAGCGGCGGACGGGUGAGUAAUGCCUAGGAAUCUGCCUGGUAGUGGGGGAUAACGUCCGGAAACGGGCGCUAAUACCGCAUACUAUCAGAUGAGCCUAGGUCGUGUUAGGUAGUUGGUGGGGUAAAGGCCUACCAAGGCGACGAACCGUAACUGGUCUGAGAGGAUGACCAGCCAGACUGGAACUGAGACACGGUACAGACUCCUACGGGAGGCAGCAGUGGGGAAUAUUGCACAAGGGGCGCAAGCCUGAUGCAGCCAUGCCGCGUGUAGGAAGAAGGCCUUCGGGUUGUAAAGUACUUUCAGCGGGGAGGCGUUACCCGCAGAAGAAGCACCGGCUAACUACGUGCCAGCCGCCGCGGUAAUAC
rnacentral:rRNA from 1 species